GAUGAACGCGGCGGCGUGCUUAACACAUGCAAGUCGAACGAAGCUGCCCAAAGGAAGUUUUCGGAUGGAAUUUAGGUAGACUUAGUGGCGGACGGGUGAGUAACGCGUGGAUAACCUGCCUUAUACAGGGGGAUAACGGAGAGAAAUUUCCGCUAACACCGCAUAAGACCACAGCACCGCAUGGUGCAGGGGUAAAAUAUUUAUAGGUAUAAGAUGGAUCCGCGUCCGAUUAGCUAGUUGGUGAGGUAAAGGCCCACCAAGGCGACGAUCGGUAGCCGGCCUGAGAGGGUGAACGGCCACAUUGGGACUGAGACACGGCCCAAACUCCUACGGGAGGCAGCAGUGGGGAAUAUUGGACAAUGGGGGAAACCCUGAUCCAGCGACGCCGCGUGAGUGAAGAAGUAUUUCGGUAUGUAAAGCUCUAUCAGCAGGGAAGAAAAUGACGUACCUGACUAA
rnacentral:rRNA from 1 species